rnacentral:rRNA from 1 species
GCUCAGAACUUAAAGGAAUUGACGGGGCCCGCGACAAGCGGUGGAGCAUGUGGUUUAAUUUCGAAGCAACGCGAAGAACCUUACCAGGCCUUGACAUGCAGAGAACUUUCCAGAGAUGGAUUGGUGCCUUCGGGAACUCUGACACAGGUGCUGCAUGGCUGUCGUCAGCUAGUGUCGUGAGAUGUUGGGUUAAGUCCCGUAACGAGCGCAACCCUUGUCCUUAGUUACCAGCACGUUAUGGUGGGCACUCUAAGGAGACUGCCGGUGACAAACCGGAGGAAGGUGGGGAUGACGUCAAGUCAUCAUGGCCCUUACGGCCUGGGCUACACACGUGCUACAAUGGUCGGUACAAAGGGUUGCCAAGCCGCGAGGUGGAGCUAAUCCCAUAAAACCGAUCGUAGUCCGGAUCGCAGUCUGCAACUCGACUGCGUGAAGUCGGAAUCGCUAGUAAUCGUGAAUCAGAAUGUCACGGUGAAUACGUUCCCGGGCCUU